rnacentral:rRNA from 1 species
GAUGAACGCUGGCGGCGUGCUUAACACAUGCAAGUCGAACGGAAAGGCCCAAGCUUGCUUGGGUACUCGAGUGGCGAACGGGUGAGUAACACGUGGGUGAUCUGCCCUGCACUUCGGGAUAAGCCUGGGAAACUGGGUCUAAUACCGGAUAGGACCACUUCUUGGAUGUUGUGGUGGAAAGUUUUUUCGGUGUGGGAUGAGCUCGCGGCCUAUCAGCUUGUUGGUGAGGUAAUGGCCUACCAAGGCGUCGACGGGUAGCCGGCCUGAGAGGGUGUACGGCCACAUUGGGACUGAGAUACGGCCCAGACUCCUACGGGAGGCAGCAGUGGGGAAUAUUGCACAAUGGGCGCAAGCCUGAUGCAGCGACGCCGCGGGGGGGAUGACGGCCUUCGGGUUGUAAACUCCUUUCGCUAGGGACGAAGCGUUUUGUGACGGUACCUGGAGAAGAAGCACCGGCUAACUACGUG